GACGAACGCUGGCGGCGUGCUUAACACAUGCAAGUCGAACGAAAAGAGGGAAAGAGCUUGCUCUUUCCGGAAUUGAGUGGCAAACGGGUGAGUAACACGUAAACAACCUGCCUUCAGGAUGGGGACAACAGACGGAAACGACUGCUAAUACCGAAUAAGUUCCAAGAGCCGCAUGGCCCAUGGAAGAAAAGGUGGCCUCUACCUGUAAGCUAUCGCCUGAAGAGGGGUUUGCGUCUGAUUAGCUGGUUGGAGGGGUAACGGCCCACCAAGGCGACGAUCAGUAGCCGGUCUGAGAGGAUGAACGGCCACACUGGAACUGAGACACGGUCCAGACUCCUACGGGAGGCAGCAGUGGGGAAUCUUCCGCAAUGGGCGAAAGCCUGACGGAGCAACGCCGCGUGAGUGAUGACGGCCUUCGGGUUGUAAAACUCUGUGAUCCGGGGCGAAAAGGCAGAGUGCGAAGAACAAACUGCAUUGACGGUACCGGAAAAGCAAGCCACGGCUAACUACGUG
rnacentral:rRNA from 1 species